rnacentral:tRNA from 11 species
GCUUAAGUGAAAUUAAAGACGAGACUAAACGUGUAGUACUGAAGGUAGAGUAAUUUCGGACGGGGGUUCAACUCCCCCCAGCUCCACCA